rnacentral:tRNA from 1 species
GCCAGAGUGGUAGCUCAGUGGUAGAGAACUUGCCUAGCAUGUGCAAAGCCCUGGGUUCAAUCCCCAGCAUUGGGG